AUUGAACGCUGGCGGCAGGCCUAACACAUGCAAGUCGAGCGGAUGAAGGGAGCUUGCUCCUGGCUUCAGCGGCGGACGGGUGAGUAAUGCAUAGGAAUCUGCCUGGUAGUGGGGGAUAACGUCCGGAAACGGGCGCUAAUACCGCAUACGUCCUGAGGGAGAAAGUGGGGGAUCUUCGGACCUCACGCUAUCAGAUGAGCCUAGGUCGGAUUAGCUAGUUGGUGGGGUAAAGGCCUACCAAGGCGACGAUCCGUAACUGGUCUGAGAGGAUGAUCAGUCACACUGGAACUGGGACACGGUCCAGACUCCUACGGGAGGCAGCAGUGGGGAAUAUUGGACAAUGGGCGAAAGCCUGAUCCAGCCAUGCCGCGUGUGUGAAGAAGGUCUUCGGAUUGUAAAGCACUUUAAGUUGGGAGGAAGGGCAGUAAGUUAAUACCUUGCUGUUUUGACGUUACCAACAGAAUAAGCACCGGCUAACUUCGUG
rnacentral:rRNA from 1 species